rnacentral:rRNA from 1 species
CGGAAUGAGUACACUUUAAAUCCUUUAACGAGGAUCAAUUGGAGGGCAAGUCUGGUGCCAGCAGCCGCGGUAAUUCCAGCUCCAAUAGCGUAUAUUAAAGUUGUUGCGGUUAAAAAGCUCGUAGUCGAAUUUGUGUCUCGCGCCGACGGUUCAUCGUUCGCGGUGUCAACUGGCGUGACGCGAGACGUCCUGCCGGCGGGCUUAGCUCGCGAGAGCGGUCCAAUUCAAUCCCGCCGCGGUGCUCUUCAUUGAGUGUCGAGGUGGGCCGGCACGUUUACUUUGAACAAAUUACAGUGCUCAAAGCAGGCUAAAAUUUCGCCUGAAUACUCCGUGCAUGGAAUAAUGAAACAGGACCUCGGUUCUAUUUUGUUGGUUUUCGGAACACCGAGGUAAUGAUCAACAGGAACGGAUGGGGGCAUUCGUAUUGCGACGUUAGAGGUGAAAUUCUUGGAUCGUCGCAAGACGGACAGAAGCGAAAGCAUUUGCCAAAAAUGUUUUCAUUGAUCAAGAACGAAAGUUAGAGGUUCGAAGGCGAUCAGAUACCGCCCUAGUUCUAACCAUAAACGAUGCCAGCUAGCGAUCCGCCGACGUUCCUCCGAUGACUCGGCGGGCAGCUUCCGGGAAACCAAAGCUUUUGGGUUCCGGGGGAAGUAUGGUUGCAAAGCUGAA